rnacentral:rRNA from 1 species
AUGGGUGAUACAUCUCCGAAGAGUAGUGAUGGGAAGAGCAUUGGCGGCGGCGGCGGAAAGUACACGCCGCCAGCAGCCAGGAAGGCUGCUGCAGCGGAUGGCGGCGCUGUUGUCCUCGCUACCCCAUCGAGGGCCAUGAGUGAGCCCGUCCAGUAUCCGAUGCUGACGGACACAAACUACUCGCCAUGGGCUGCGAAGAUGAAGGUCCCGAUGAAGCCGUUGCGUGUUUGGUCCGCGAUUGAAGGCUCCGGUGAGUAUGAUCAGGCUAUGGACGAAGGGGCGUUCGCCGCUCUCUCUCAAUUUGUUCUGGAUCACGUGAUGCUGCAGGUUGCGGAGUGCGACACCGCGCGUGAGGCGUGGGAGAUGAUCCGGUGUGCGCGCCUCGGUGAGGAUCGCGUGAAGAUGGCGCAUGCACGCCAACUGAAGAGACAAUUUGAUCGCCUCGAUAUGGCGGAUGGAGAGACGAUUCCGGAGUUCGCCAAGAAGCUCAUCCAGCUGGUGAGCAAGAUCCGCUCUCUCGGCAUCACACUUGAAGAUGAAGCUGUGGUGGAGCGGCUCUUCAGCGCUGUUCCAGACCGUUUCACGGACAUCGUCAACACCAUUGAGCAGUGGGGUGAUGUCUCCGCGAUGACGGUGCAAGAGGCUAUUAGGCGCCUCACCGCGUUCGAGCAGAACCAGCGCGGUCACCGUCAGAGUGGUGGCGAUGAAGGUGAGAAGCUGAUGCUUGUUUCACGUGCCCAGCUGGAGGAAUUGAUCCUUAAAGAGAAGAAGAAGGGGGUGGGCUCCAGUAGCGGCAACAAGAACGAUGACCAGGACAGGCGUGGUGGUGGCCGCGGCCAGGACGGCAAGAAGAAGGAACGGCGUGGCAAGUUCGACAAGUCGAGGAUCACCUGCUUCCAGUGUGGCGAGAAGGGCCACUUCGCCUCUGAGUGCGAGGAGCCGAAGAAAGAAAAGGCGCUGCUCGCCGACGCCGGCGACGACGAACCAGCGCUGCUGAUGGCUGUGGCAAGUGAGCUCGCGCCGGUGCUACAACAUGCCGCCGACGUCGUCCAGCCAGAAGGUAUAGAGGUGAAGAAGGUGCUUUGCCCCUUAGCCAUCGAGUCUGAGUUGGAAGCUGUCAAGGCAGAGGCAAACCGGUUGCGUGGUGAACUGGUCGCAGCCCAAGUGAAGUUGCACGCCAUGUCCAAGGAGUACAGUGCACAGAUAGCGAGCCGCGACGGUGACCACACGCUCCUGCUUGAGUGUGUGAAUGCAUUAGAGGAGGAUGCAAGGCUGGCCAGGGAGGAGAAUGGCAAGCUGCUGGAGGUGCAACGCGUGCUCCGCGAAGAGAACAACGGACUGCAUGAUAUGGUAAAGAAACUAAUGGCAAGAGCCCUCCCAGCAAGUGCAGCAAUAGCAGCAUCAGCGCCGGUAGCUGUGACGCCGGCCGUGAAGUCACCAGGCGUGGAGAUGCCCGCCAUGGAGUCACUGGACGUGGAGACACCAGUCGUGAAGGAGCUUGGAGUGCAGCUCAAAGUGAAGGAGAAAGUAUGCUCAGAGGGGCACUUGCAAUCUGUGGAGGUCCCUGAUGUGGUCUUGCUGAAUGAAGAGAAAAUCAAGACCAAGCUAAGUGCUGAUGAGAGGUACAAUGGUGAGCUUUGGUAUGUUGAUACAGGUGCAAGCAACCACAUGUUUGGUUGUUCAAAAAUAUUUACUGAACUUGACUCCAGCGUGAACGGGACCGUUUGCUUUGGGGAUGGGUCAGUGGUACAAAUUUGUGGCCGAGGCACUGUCUUGCACAGCUGCCGUAGUGGUAAGCAGCAUGUUCUCAAGGAUGUGUAUUUUAUUCCCAAGCUUAGAAGCAACAUAAUUAGUUUGGGUCAGCUGGACGAAGAAGGGUGCAAGUCUGGGGUAUUCCAUGGGCACCUGAACUUUUUUGGUGGCUCGGGAGAGCUGCUAGCUAAGGCGCACAAGACAAAGAAUCGACUCUACGCACUGAACCUGAAGGAAUCUGUGUGCCUACCGAACAUGAAGAAGUGUUCAGUACCAGGUGAGGGGGGGUGUUAUGCAUGGUGA